CUAUAUUACAGAGGAAGAGAGAACUGGCAACAUCAUUACACUCCUGCAGACACACUGGAGGAAAAAGAGUUGCUGCAGCUCAAAUAUAAUCCUUAGGGAAUGUUUCUGUUUGCAUUCAGACAUGGAAUGCCACCAUGCAUCUAAAGAGGAAAAUGAAGCAUCAGAAAUGAACCUCUUCAAAACGUCUGCGCUUAUCUGAAG
rnacentral:lncRNA from 1 species